rnacentral:rRNA from 1 species
GAUGAACGCUAGCUACAGGCUUAACACAUGCAAGUCGAGGGGUAGCAGGAUCUAGCAAUAGAUUGCUGACGACCGGCGCACGGGUGAGUAACACGUAUCCAAUCUACCUUUUACUCGGGGAUAGCCUUUCGAAAGAAAGAUUAAUACCCGAUGGCAUGUAAUAAUCGCAUGAUUAUUACAUUAAAGAAUUUCGGUAAAAGAUGAGGAUGCGUUCCAUUAGAUUGUUGGUAAGGUAACGGCUUACCAAGUCUUCGAUGGAUAGGGGUUCUGAGAGGAAGGUCCCCCACACUGGAACUGAGACACGGACCAGACUCCUACGGGAGGCAGCAGUGAGGAAUAUUGGUCAAUGGGCGAGAGCCUGAACCAGCCAAAUCGCGUGAAGGACGACGGUAUUAUGUAUUGUAAACUUCUUUUAUAAGGGAAUAAAAAGUAGGACGUGUCCUAUGUUGCAUGUACCUUAUGAAUAAGCAUCGGCUAACUCCGUGCCAGCCGCCGCAGUAAAAC